AUUGAACGCUGGCGGCAUGCCUUACACAUGCAAGUCGAACGGUAACAGGUCUUCGGAUGCUGACGAGUGGCGAACGGGUGAGUAAUACAUCGGAACGUGCCCGAUCGUGGGGGAUAACGAAGCGAAAGCUUUGCUAAUACCGCAUAAGAUCUACGGAUGAAAGCAGGGGACCGCAAGGCCUUGCGCGAACGGAGCGGCCGAUGGCAGAUUAGGUGGUUGGUGGGAUAAAAGCUUACCAAGCCGACGAUCUGUAGCUGGUCUGAGAGGACGACCAGCCACACUGGGACUGAGACACGGCCCAGACUCCUACGGGAGGCAGCAGUGGGGAAUUUUGGACAAAGGGCGAAAGCCUGAUCCAGCCAUGCCGCGUGCAGGAUGAAGGCCUUCGGGUUGUAAACUGCUUUUGUACGGAACGAAAAGACUCUGGUUAAUACCUGGGGUCCAUGACGGUACCGUAAGAAUAAGCACCGGCUAACUACGUG
rnacentral:rRNA from 1 species